CUCAUUGUGAAGAGGAGCAUCUGGAC
rnacentral:piRNA from 1 species